UUUCUGGUGUUCUUCUUCUUUUCCUGGCGACGCCGCGUCUUCGAUUAAGCUGGCCUAGGCUUCUUACCCUCCUUGGCCACGCUUCCCAUGGAGGUGCGGGGUGUUCUUCAUUUCUGGCUGUUUUGCUCGGGGCGGCAGAGCUUAGGUUAUCCGGUGGUGGUCAGUGUGGUGGCGUUGCUGACCUCUCCAUGGAAAUUAUUUUACCAGGUAUCACCGCUGUCGUCCUUCCAUCAUCGCUACAUAUGCAGACCAGUUUGCUCUUUGCUCAUGAUAGUUGUCCUGGCUGCCAAUUUUGGCUGCAGCUGCGUCUGGCGAGUCCGUGAACCCCUUUUCCGAGCCCUUUAUCCCCGACCACGCGUCCACCCAGAUCGAUGCCGCCGUCUGCGGCGGUGCCUCGCGUGCCACCGCAAGUAAAUACCUCUGAUCCUGCCACUAGCGGCCGGCCACUAUACAUGUUCGUUCCUUCAUGCCCUGUUCCGUGUCCGUUCGUGUAGCCUCCGAGUUCAGACAGUUCAUGUGAUGGGUUGCCCUUCUUCUAUUUUCUUACCUUCUCCACGUAUUUGGGAAGGUAAUUGUUCUCCUGCUCCUUUUUCAUGACGCUCUUUGAUGGGGUUCUGCAGAUUCUGCUCUAUGAUUAUUUUUCUUUCCCAAACGCUAAAAAGUGCACGGAGGCUGGCUGGUUCUUCCGAGCCCUCGCUUUUCGUUCGUCCGAUGCGCUCGAUCACGUUCUAGUCAGCCCAGUCGUUCCGACAUAUUCCCACCUGAGUCCAGCCGUGCACGCUCUCGUCACGCACUGGCGUUCUCCCCAAAUCGCGCUCAUCCCAUCACGCCUCGAUCUCCAAAUCGCACUCAUCCACCCCGCCUCUAUCUCCGGCCGCCGGCGUUCUCCGCUCCAUCUCUAUCUCCGGUCGCCAGUGUACUCCGCUCAUCUCCAUCUCCGGCAGCCGACGCACUCCACCCCACCCCCAUUUACGGCCGCCGCCGCUCUCCAACUCGCCCCCAUCUCCGACCACUACCGGGCUUCGCCCCGCUCCCAUGUCCGGCUGCCACGCGCUUCGGCCCGCACCCAUCUCCGGCCACCACUACGUGCCGUCCCACGGCACCCCGGUUCUCCUGUUCGAUGGGGAUAAAGCAAGCAGGCAAGCAGAUCUAAACGGUGAGGACGCAGCAUGGAAACGCUACUUUGUUGAAAUUUAGAGGCGUGCAGGCGCUGCGUGACUGCGUGUGGAGGAAGCAUGGCUCUUCUCCAUUCGUUUUUGUGUGAGAUGGCAGCUCUUCUCCAUUGAUUUCUAAGAAAGAACUUCUGCCGCCACACCGGAUCGCACUCAGACUCUCUCCCCGCGGAAUAAUUUCUUGUUGUUCGUGCUUCGAUUUUUGCGGGGACUGUGUGAAGCAGCUGUAUUUGGGUGAGUUUUUCUACUCGUGUAAUUUUCUUCUUCCAUGGUUCCUGCCUGAUUUCCUCAAUGCUCUAUACAAGAUUUGACUCAGUGCCGUGGCAGACUAGUAGUGCGAUUGCAUACUCACCUUAGCAAUAGGCCAUUCUAGUGUGAUACUGGGUAGCCUGACUACUCAUGCUGAUCUCGUGAGAUCAUCAACCAACAACAAAACAUAUAGUGCCAACUGCGGCAACGACGGGACCUUUUUUUCUCCUCCGCUGCGGCGGUUUAAGUCACCUAUGGUAGGGUUGUAGACUACCUAGUGCUAAGUUGCAUACCCACUAUUGCUAAGUUGUAGAUCGCUUAGUGCUAAAUCGCGUACCCUGGUAUUUUGCUAAGUUGUAUAUCACCUAGUGCUAAGUUGCAUACCCACAAUUGCUAUGUUGUAUACCAUCUAGUGCUAAGUUUCAUACCCGUUAUUCCUAAGUUGUAUAACACCUAGUGCUAAGUUGCAUAACCUGGUAUUACUAAGUUGUAUACUGCCAAGUGCUAAGUUGGAUACCUUCUAUUGUUAAGUUGUAUACCACCUAGUGCUAUAUUGCAUACCCUGUUAUUGCAAAGUUUUAUACCGCCUAGUGCUAAGUUAGAUACCCCGCAAUUGCUAAGUUAUAUACCACCUAUUGCUAUGUUGCAUACCCCGGCAUGGCUGCAAUUAAAACACCACUAGCAAUAUAUUGCUUUUUAUCCCGAGUUGCAUCCAUUUAUCAACUAGGUUGUAACCGAACCAAAGCAAAAUUGUAUGCUGAAACAAGCAAACACCAGCCACAUCUGCUUUAAUCGAGGUGGAGUUUUAACUCGUGGUGGUGGCUGCCACAAAUACAACAAAUUGUUUCUUUAUACAUGUGCUAAGUUGUAUUUGUUCGGUUGUAUUAUUGUUCCAUGUAGGAGGUAAGUUGCAUUUUUUAUACAAUAAAUUGUUUUCUCACACAUUUCAUUAAGCACGUUCAUAGAUAUUAAAUUGUUGCUUCACACUUGUGCUAAGUUGUAUACCCUAGAGCUAAUUUUUGGGUCGAGGUGGAGUUGUACCUCGCGGCAUCGGAUUCCACGAAGACUGCAAAUUAUUACUUCAAACAUGUGUUAAGUUGUAUUUUGAGGACGCUUUUAUUGUUGUCACACAUGAGCUAAGUUGGACUUUGCAAUGAUAAAUUGUCUCCGGCAAAAUAAGUGUACUGCAAAACACAAAAAAUAAUAAUGUAAGCAACUCUUUGUACUAAGUUGCUUUUGCCACAACAGUAAGUUGCUUUUAAAAAAAAGUUUAUCGAAACAUAUAUAAAUGAUAUCUAGUUUCGAAGAUCUUGGCGCGAGAGGACCAACGGUGAAAACGGAUCACAAUUCCGACAUACGGUGUAUGAGUUAUGACUUUUUUUUAAAUUGUUACAUGUAGUAAAUGUGCAUGUAAUGUCCGUGUGCAAACUUUCCAUAUUUAGAGUGAGGGCUUAAUUAGACUAACCAGCCUCUGUUUGCUCCCUAGACACGUCCUUUUCUUUUGAGGUUGAAACCGCAGUAUGAGCUUAAAAGAUUCCAAAUACAUCCCUUUUAGUUUCCAAUCUGCUGGCUUAGAGAAGUAAAUACUUCUAAUUUUUUAUUAGAUUGUUUCUUAAUUCAGAAUCAGAGUGAGUUUGUUGUUCUUCAUUUUAACUGUGAACCAGCAAUCUAAAACUAUUUUUUUUCGCAAAAUUUGUUUUGACAAGAAUGAUACUGACGCUUUAAGCUAUUCAUCUUUGUCAUCUUGGAACUGUGAAUUUAUCUAUGAUAUGACAUGUGGGUAUCUAGAAGUAACUGUUCCGGGUCACAUAUUUGAAGCUAUUCAAAAAAUCAGUCCCAAGAGUUGUUGCUUCAUGAUAUACAUUUUUUGGCACUUUUAGUAAGAGGGCUUCAGAAUGACAACUGCUGCUAUGGAACUCUCCAUGAAUUUUAUCCUCCUUGUUUUCUAAAUUUAUACUUAUAGCACAUGUAUAUUUCACUAUUUAUUUACACUAUCAUAAGAUAUUGCUUUUGCCCUUUCCCAAUUUUUGUGGAGCACCAUUUGUUUUUGCAAAGUAGAUUGUUACGGUCUAUUUUAUUUACAUCGCUUAUUAGUAGUGCCUAAUUUUUAUUUACAUCACUUAUUUUUGUUGUUGAGUUUUCAAAGAGGGUGCUGCCAAAGGGAAGUCUUGGUGGCAUGUGUUUGUGUUCUAGCUUUGUAUAGUUUCAGAAGAGGGGGCUGCCACUGGGAGGUCUCGGCAGGGAGCUUACAUGCUGAUCUGGUUGUGCCAUGGUAGAAGUCGACUCGCACAGAGUAAUGCUCAGCCAAGAUUUUGGGCGAUACAAUGAAUUCGUAAUGAUAUUGUUCCAAAUAUAGCAUGCUGGGAGGCUCAUGAUACUAUUGGUUAAGCAUAUGGCCUUUCAUUUCAAAAGUUGUUGGAUCAAGUGUUAGCAUUUGGAGGGAUAAUAAAUAAGUUGACAUUCAUAGAGAAGAAAAGUAAUUGAGUUACAUUUACUGUUGUACUAGAGCAUCCCAACAGCGGAGGCGCUCUUGGGGAAGGAAGCACCAACACGAAGCAAGCGUUCAGUUCUUAAGCACCGAGCCAUGAUUUCAGGAUAGAGUAUUCUCUGUUUUGUGAUGUCAACUCGAACAUGCGGUCUUGGCGGGUCCGCGUGAGGGUUACGGUUCUGAAAAUAUCUGGAUGUGAGGAAGAACAAUGAGAUGGUUUGUUUCCAGUUCAGAAUUUGAUAAUUGUAGAUGGUUGACAAGAAGGUGGUUGGUGGAUGCCGUAAAGGAUGUGCUAUGCAGGGCUCCAUAUCAAAAGUUCAUACAAAGAGGUUUAGGGGAAUGCUUCUUGCGGGGCACGCUUACCAUUUG